UGGAAUCAGAGUACCUCAGAAAUGUUGAAAAUGUGGAAGCAUCGGUUAUCUCUGAGGGGAAGGGUGUGGGGAGGUAGAGCAAGAGGAUUUCCGCGUAAUUCAUGGAACGCCAAGGCCACCAACAAUCAAAAUGAGGAACAUUUGGCCUUUGUUUCCUUGACUGACAUCAUGCAGAACCAAGUUGAAGACAAUGGCUUGCCAAGGCACCCUGUUCUCCGUGAGACUUGGAAGACCCCGUUCAGGAGAUUUCAACGUUUUUUCACAAGAUACUUUAGGAGCUAAUUCCACGGCUUAAGAUCACCCAUGCUGCAAACACAGACCCAUUAAUGGAUAUGAAGACACCUCCACAAUCAUAUUUUCCUCCAUUUUUCUGUUUUUCUGUUGUUUGUUGCUUAAUAAAGGCUUACACGCUU
rnacentral:lncRNA from 1 species